UCGUACUGUUGAAGUUUUCCAGUUGUUGUGGGGCUAAGGCCUUUCCCAAUGUCUUGACUACCGCAUGGAGGGCCUUGCUGGAUAGACUACCAACUAGAGAAUGCUUGAGUAGGAGAGGAGUGACGCUGGAUUCCACCCUUUGUGUGCUUUGCCAAAUCAAGGUCGAAUCUUGUCAACACCUCUUUAUGGAGUGUGAUGUGGUUGUGCGGGUGUGGGAGUUAUGUUAUAGGUGGAUUGGCAUCUU
rnacentral:lncRNA from 1 species